rnacentral:rRNA from 1 species
AGAGUUUGAUCCUGGCUCAGGAUGAACGCUAGCUACAGGCUUAACACAUGCAAGUCGAGGGGCAGCGGGAUUGAAGCUUGCUUCAAUUGCCGGCGACCGGCGCACGGGUGAGUAACGCGUAUCCAACCUUCCGUACACUCAGGGAUAGCCUUUCGAAAGAAAGAUUAAUACCUGAUGGUAUGAUGAGAUUGCAUGAUAGCAUCAUUAAAGAUUUAUCGGUGUACGAUGGGGAUGCGUUCCAUUAGGUAGUAGGCGGGGUAACGGCCCACCUAGCCAACGAUGGAUAGGGGUUCUGAGAGGAAGGUCCCCCACAUUGGAACUGAGACACGGUCCAAACUCCUACGGGAGGCAGCAGUGAGGAAUAUUGGUCAAUGGACGAGAGUCUGAACCAGCCAAGUAGCGUGAAGGAUGAAGGUCCUACGGAUUGUAAACUUCUUUUAUAAGGGAAUAAACCCUCCCACGUGUGGGAGCUUGUAUGUACCUUAUGAAUAAGCAUCGGCUAACUCCGUGCCAGCAGCCGCGGUAAUACGGAGGAUGCGAGCGUUAUCCGGAUUUAUUGGGUUUAAAGGGAGCGCAGACGGGUCGUUAAGUCAGCUGUGAAAGUUUGGGGCUCAACCUUAAAAUUGCAGUUGAUACUGGCGUCCUUGAGUGCGGUUGAGGUGUGCGGAAUUCGUGGUGUAGCGGUGAAAUGCUUAGAUAUCACGAAGAACUCCGAUUGCGAAGGCAGCACACUAAUCCGUAACUGACGUUCAUGCUCGAAAGUGUGGGUAUCAAACAGGAUUAGAUACCCUGGUAGUCCACACGGUAAACGAUGGAUACUCGCUGUUGGCGAUAUACUGUCAGCGGCUUAGCGAAAGCGUUAAGUAUCCCACCUGGGGAGUACGCCGGCAACGGUGAAACUCAAAGGAAUUGACGGGGGCCCGCACAAGCGGAGGAACAUGU